AUUCGAACAAUUGCAGAAAUGUUUCUAAGUUUUUAUUUUAUGGUAGACGCUAUUUUAGUGAUUGGAGUUUAUAACUGAUUUUUUCUGAAGUUUAUAACUUCAAUUGGAGUAUUUUCGAUCCUCACAGUAAAUGCUGCGUGAAAUGGAUCCUUUAAGUUUUGAAACUGUUAGAACGUGUUGUACCUUGCGGUCUCACCUGUUGGAAAGACGAUUGUAACUGGAGGAGGAGAUGCGACCUUAAGGUUCUGGAAUGUCUUACCAUCCCUGAAAGCUCAGUAUCAGGUGGGAUCUGUGCUGAGCGUGGUCUGCUGGGUGUGACUACAUGUGCAACUAUGCUUGAAGAAAGAGUUAGAUCCUAUGCAAACCAGCAAAACCAGGAUUCACUUCAACUGGUAUUUAUUAUACUUUUGUUAAUUUAUAGUAGAUAAUUAGCCGAAUUCCUUUCGUAGUUUCCUCAAGCUUUUAUUAUAUGAGAAUCAUACUUAAUUGUUUUUGGAUCUUCAUAUACGGCUAAUGAGUUCCAUUAUCAUGUUUAGUCUGUUACUUUUCAUGCUAUUCAAUUUCUGAGAGUCA